AGUGGCAGACGGCUGAGUAACGCGUGGGAACAUACCUUUUGGUUCGGAACAACACAGGGAAACUUGUGCUAAUACCGGAUAAGCCCUUACGGGGAAAGAUUUAUCGCCGAAAGAUUGGCCCGCGUCUGAUUAGCUAGUUGGUGAGGUAACGGCUCACCAAGGCGACGAUCAGUAGCUGGUCUGAGAGGAUGAUCAGCCACAUUGGGACUGAGACACGGCCCAG
rnacentral:rRNA from 1 species